UACGGAGGGUGCAAGCGUUAAUCGGAAUUACUGGGCGUAAAGCGUGCGUAGGCGGUUCGUUAAGUCUGUUGUGAAAUCCCCUCGCUCAACGAGGGAACUGCGUCGGAAACUGGCAGGCUCGAGUACCGGAGAGGAAGGUGGAAUUCCUGGUGUAGCGGUGAAAUGCGCAGAUAUCAGGAGGAACACCGGUGGCGAAGGCGGGUCUCUGGGCCGUAACUGACGCUGAGGAGCGAAAGCAUGGGGAGCGAACAGG
rnacentral:rRNA from 1 species